GUAGGGUCCAAGCGUUAAUCGGAAUUACUGGGCGUAAAGCGUGCGCAGGCGGUUGUGCAAGACCGAUGUGAAAUCCCCGAGCUUAACUUGGGAAUUGCAUUGGUGACUGCACGACUAGAGUGUGUCAGAGGGGGGUAGAAUUCCACGUGUAGCAGUGAAAUGCGUAGAGAUGUGGACGAAUACCGAUGGCGAAGGCAGUCCCCUGGGAUAACACUGACGCUCAUGCACGAAAGCGUGGGGAGCAAACAGGAUUAGAUACCCUGGUAGUCCACGCCCUAAACGAUGUCNACUAGUUGUUGGGGAUUCAUUUCCUUAGUAACGUAGCUAACGCGUGAAGUUGACCGCCUGGGGAGUACGGUCGCNAGAUUAAANACUCANAGGAAUUGACNAGCC
rnacentral:rRNA from 1 species